UACGUAGGGUGCGAGCGUUAAUCGGAAUUACUGGGCGUAAAGUGUGCGCAGGCGGCCGCGCAAGUCGAGUGUGAAAGCCCCGAGCUUAACUUGGGAAUUGCGCUCGAAACUACGUGGCUGGAGUGUGGCAGAGGAAGGUGGAAUUCCAGGUGUAGCGGUGGAAUGCGCAGAUAUCAGGAGGAACACCAAUAGCGAAGGCAGCUCGCUGGGACGUUACUGACACUGAGGCGCGAAAGCGUGGGGAGCGAACAGG
rnacentral:rRNA from 1 species